AACGAACGCUGGCGGCAUGCCUAACACAUGCAAGUCGAACGAGACCUUCGGGUCUAGUGGCGCACGGGUGCGUAACGCGUGGGAACCUGCCCUUAGGUUCGGAAUAACUCCCCGAAAGGGGUGCUAAUACCGGAUAAUGUCUUCGGACCAAAGAUUUAUCGCCUUUGGAUGGGCCCGCGUUGGAUUAGCUAGUUGGUAGGGUAAAAGCCUACCAAGGCGACGAUCCAUAGCUGGUCUGAGAGGAUGAUCAGCCACACUGGGACUGAGACACGGCCGAGACUCCUACGGGAGGCAGCAGAGGGGAAUAUUGGAAAAUGGGCGAAAGGCUGAUCCAGCAAUGCCGCGUGAGUGAUGAAGGCCUUAGGGUUGUAAAGCUCUUUUACCCGGGAUGAUAAUGACAGUACCGGGAGAAUAAGCUCCGGCUAACUCCGUG
rnacentral:rRNA from 1 species